ACGGAGCUUGCUCUGUGGGAUCAGUGGCGAACGGGUGAGUAACACGUGAGCAACCUGCCCCUGACUCUGGGAUAAGCGCUGGAGACGGCGUCUAAUACUGGAUAUGUGACGUGACCGCAUGGUCUGCGUCUGGAAAGAAUUUCGGUUGGGGAUGGGCUCGCGGCCUAUCAGCUUGUUGGUGAGGUAAUGGCUCACCAAGGCGUCGACGGGUAGCCGGCCUGAGAGGGUGACCGGCCACACUGGGACUGAGACACGGCCCAGACUCCUACGGGAGGCAGCAGUGGGGAAUAUUGCACAAUGGGCGCAAGCCUGAUGCAGCAACGCCGCGUGAGGGACGACGGCCUUCGGGUUGUAAACCUCUUUUAGCAGGGAAGAAGCGAAAGUGACGGUACCUGCAGAAAAAGCGCCGGCUAACUACGUGCCAGCAGCCGCGGUAAUACGUAGGGCGCAAGCGUUAUCCGGAAUUAUUGGGCGUAAAGAGCUCGUAGGCGGUUUGUCGCGUCUGCUGUGAAAUCCGGAGGCUCAACCUCCGGCCUGCAGUGGGUACGGGCAGACUAGAGUGCGGUAGGGGAGAUUGGAAUUCCUGGUGUAGCGGUGGAAUGCGCAGAUAUCAGGAGGAACACCGAUGGCGAAGGCAGAUCUCUGGGCCGUAACUGACGCUGAGGAGCGAAAGGGUGGGGAGCAAACAGGCUUAGAUACCCUGGUAGUCCACCCCGUAAACGUUGGGAACUAGUUGUGGGGUCCAUUCCACGGAUUCCGUGACGCAGCUAACGCAUUAAGUUCCCCGCCUGGGGAGUACGGCCGCAAGGCUAAAACUCAAAGGAAUUGACGGGGACCCGCACAAGCGGCGGAGCAUGCGGAUUAAUUCGAUGCAACGCGA
rnacentral:rRNA from 1 species